ensembl:snRNA U6 U6 spliceosomal RNA
GCUCACUUCAGCAGAGCAUACACUAAGACUGGAACAAGUACAGAGAAGAUUAGCAUGGGCCCUGCACAAGGUUAAUAUAUAAAUUCAUGAAUAGUCCUAUAUUCUG